UGAAGUUCAAUCAAAAAGAGAGCAUUUGAAAUUCUGGAAGCCCCCAGAGGGCAUUGUUGUCUUUGGGUAAUACUCCUGGAAAAUAGUGAGGGCUUUAUGUCAGAGAGAGGCUAACUUAGUGUUUUCCUUAAUAUUGUCACUUUUUCUAUUUGCGGUGGGAAGGAUGGCUGGGGAUGAGAGGCUGUUCUCCCUCACAGCCAGCCACUAUCCACUAUGAGCCCUGGGCCCACCAAGUUCUGAAUAUUUUGAUCCCUAACACUUGACUAAAGAUUAUUUUUAGUAUUGCUGGCUCCUGGGGGGAGAAUCCUGACAUGCUUUCAAAACGGGUUGGCUGGGCCUCCUGGGUGACUCAGUCAGCGAAGCAUCAGAUUUCCACUCAGGUCACGAGCUCGUGGUUUGUGGGAUCGAGCCCCACGUCAGGCUCCAUACUGACAGCGCAGAGCCUGCUUGAGAUUCUCUCUCUCCCUCUCUCUGUCCUCCCAUGUGCACACGCUCUCUCUCUCAAAAUGAACUUAAGUUACACUUAAUUUAAACUUAAUUUAAAAAAAGGAUUGAAAAAAAAAUGAAAAAGAGUUGCCUGAGUGAACAAAACCUAGAAGCCGUAAAGAGGGAAAACUAAGAUCUAUUUGAUGACAUUAACAAAAAAAUCCUGUAAGGCAAAAAUCACUAUAAGCAAAGUGAAGAUACAGAUGACAGUUGGGGGGAAUUAAAAAAAAUUUUUUUUAAUGUUUAUUUAUUCUUGAGAGAGAGCAAGGGAGGAGCAGAGAGAGGGAGACACAGAAUCCAAAGCAGGCUCCAGGCUGCGAGCUGUCAGCACAGAGCCCGACAUGGGGCUCGAACCCUCGAGCCAGGAGAUCAUGACCUGAGCCGAAGUCGGACGCUUAACCGACGGAGCCACCCAGGCGUGGGGGGAAAUAUUUUUUAACUUACAUUGCAGUUAAGGGCCAGCUUCCUUAAUAUACAAAGAACUCAUAUAAACCAAUCAGGAAAAAACAGUCACAACUCCAUGGAACAGAUAAGGGAUAUGAACAAAUAUCUCCUGUAAGAGGCAAUACAAAAAACUUUUAAACAUAUGAAAAGGUAAGCAGGCCUCUCGUAAUAAAAGAAGUGCAAAUUAAAACUGCCCCAAUUCCAUUUUCACCUGUCAGGUUGGCAAGACUCUGCCAGUUUGACUGCACAGAGUGAUGGCCGAGGUGUGGGAAACAGGCACUCCUGGGAGAGUAGAUUGUUGCAGCCUCCGUGGAGGGCCGUUCGGUGGCACCAAUUACAAAACUGUAUUUACUCUGCAAUUCUUCCAGGAUUUCAUUCUGCAGAUAUGUCUCAAUACAUUUGAAAGAAUGUGUUUAUUUGUAGCUUAUACACUGCAGCCCUGCUCGAAAUGGGAGAAUAGUGAGAACAACCUACAAUUCCAUCUUGAAGGACUUGAUUACCUACUAAGUAGUGCAUCUCCAAAACAGAAUAUUAAUGCAAUUAAAAAAAAAGAA